AUUGAUCAAUGGCCAAGGAUGUUGAGGUUGGUGGUGAGUUCCAACCCAAGGACUACCAUGAUCCUCCACCAGCUCCAUUUGUAGAUGCCUAAGAGUUAACUCAGUGGUCUUUUUAUAGGGCUAUAAUAGCUGAGUUCAUUGCCACCCUUUUGUUUUUAUACAUCACUGUGUUAACAGUGAUUGGAUACAAGAGCCAAGUUGAUCCAGAUAAGGGUGGUCAAGAUUGUGAUGGUGUUGGCAUUCUUGGUAUUGCUUGGGCCUUUGGUGGCAUGAUUUUCAUCCUUGUUUACUGCACUGCUGGUGUCUCAGGUAAUAAUAUCUUAUACACACUCCUUGUUGAACGAUAUGGUUAAAACUUAAAAGGGUGUUUUCUUAGCAUGUUUGUUUGAUGAUAUGUAGGGGGACAUAUCAACCCAGCAGUGACCUUUGGGCUUUUCUUGGCUCGUAAGGUAUCAUUGGUUCGAGCCAUACUUUAUAUGGCUGCUCAAUGUUUAGGAGCCAUUUGUGGGUGUGGGUUAGUCAAGGCAUUCCAAAAGAGUUAUUACAACAAGUAUGGUGGAGGAGCUAAUAGCUUGGCUGAUGGAUACAGCACUGGCACUGGUUUGGCUGCUGAAAUUAUUGGCACAUUUGUGCUUGUUUACACUGUAUUCUCUGCAACUGAUCCCAAAAGAAACGCAAGAGAUUCUCAUGUUCCUGUAUGUCUCUUAAUUCAAUCCAACACCACACACAAGUUCAUUGACAAGUAUGUUUUUAGGGACUAAUUUUUUCUACAUUUUGAAGGUGUUGGCACCACUUCCCAUUGGGUUUGCUGUGUUUAUGGUUCAUUUGGCAACUAUUCCGAUCACCGGAACCGGAGUCAACCCUGCUCGUAGUUUCGGAGCUGUUGUUAUGUUCAACCAGGACAAGCCAUGGGAUGAUCAUGUAUGAACCAUCAUUUAUACAAUUGAUUUUCUAUUGUUUUCCUUUGUUUAAUACGGCUCCUAUUAAACAUAUUUUUAUAUCUGUUUGGAGUAUUGCAGUGGGUAUUCUGGGUUGGACCAUUCAUUGGAGCUGCCAUUGCUGCAAUUUAUCACCAGUAUAUCCUCAGAGCAGGAGCUGCUAAAGCUCUUGGAUCCUUCAGAAGCAGCUCAGCCAUGUAAAACAAAGGGGUUGCCAUUGAAGAAUGGAUCAAGUUUUAUCUAUGACUGUGAAGAGAAUUUUUCAGAGCAUUGAAUUUGUAAAUCAUAAUGGAAAUGUGACAUGCUUCUUUGUAUUUGGCACUUCAAUUUUUAAAGUGCCCCUAGUGUUGUCAUCAUCCCUGUUUUUCUUUCUGUUUUUGGCUUCGUCUUGGUGUCUGUAUGUUGAAAAUUUAAUAGAAUCUAAGCCUUUUUACUUUGCUUUAAAUGAUUUGAGUGUUAAUUCAGCUGAUGUGAACUUUAUUUUUUACAAAAGAAGUAAUAAAACAAAGAUAAAUCAGAUAAAGGCAAAUCUUCUUCAACUUAAUCAUGGUGUAAUAUCUAAAGCACUCUCUCUAGUGGCUGCAUGUAAAUAUAAUCUCACAAAUUUUGAGAAUGCCAAUUUUACCAAUCUUCUCAAUUUUAUCAAUUCAUCUGUAAUUUUAUUCUCUUCUUUGAACACAUGUCUAAGGCAGACCACCCAUAAACGUUAGAGAAGGUCCUUGACGGUACACCUCACGGCUGAAAAAUACUGUUCAUUUUCAUUUACUUGUCUCACUUCGAUAGUUUCAGUACUAUCUUUCUCGAAUAUCACCCUCUCUAAGCCUAAACUUAUACUAGUUGGAGCUCCUUAAGAGCACCUCAAAGUUCCAUUAAAACCACAUAACAACGACCCGAACUCCCUUAUGAUCCCGUAUUUAACCUCCUGCUACAGCAAUCCCAAACAAUUGACAAGCUGAUGUGUACUUUAUUAAUCAAGAAACUAGAGACAAUAGUGGUUGCUUAUUCAGUAUAGUGAUCAAACCACAAAAGCUACAUAACUUCUUCCGAACAUUGCCGGAUGCUGAAAACGAUAACUAGUAGACGACCAGUGAUAUGCGGCGGCUGUGUGGGGGACUAAAUACAACGUGGCAUUACAACAGUGGUUGAGCUAAUCAGUGCCGGUGAUGGUCGGUGUGACCGCAGCGGAAAUUGGCAGUGAUGGGUGUUGAAAUUUACACUGAUUAGUGGGUUCAAACUUUUUAGCCACGCCUACACCUCUCUAUAGGCCAGCUUGUUGAGCGGUCAAUUCAACCGAAUUUUUCAUUCAACUCAAUUGAUUUAUACCAUUCAUCAUUCAACUGAUUUUUUCUAAAUUAUUGUACUAAUAAAUUUUCGGUUUAAUUAACUUAACCAACAAUUUUAAUCUGAUUCCGAAAAAAUUGGAUUUGGUCUAUUUAUGAGUAUGAAUUUAAAUAUUGUUGAAUUUUUUAUUCGAAUAUUGUUGUUUUAAAUAAUUUUUAGAUUUAAAUAUUUUAAUUAAUAUCCAUUUUACUUUUUUGAAUAGAUUCUGGUUCUAAUCUUGAUAUUUAUUUUUUUUUCAAAUUAAUAUCGAUUAUAAUUUUAAUUUGAAUAAUAAUACUCAUAUUAAAUAUAAAUAAUAAGUAAACUUACAAAUAUAAAAUUAAAGUUUACAACAAAAUAUAAAUAUUCAACUCGACAUAAUCCAUAUACAAAGAAUUAGAUUAUCGCAUACCCAUAAUUUAGAUGAAAAAAUUAUUUAAUACAUUGGUAAAAAUAUUUUUCUAGUCUCUCUCUCGUAUAUUGAGUAAAUUAGUUUUUCUAAAAAAAUUAAAGUAAUUUAAUCCCUAUCAAUUUUGAAAGUGAGCAACUAAAAACAAUUAAUCACAUUAAUGUUUUUUUUGUCAAUUGUACAUAUUUUUAUUGGCAUAAUAACAAAUUUAGCCCACAAUAUUUACACAUUCUAUAAAUUUGGUCCUAAUUUAACAAAUUUAACCUGCAACAUUUGCACAUAAUAUAUAAGUAUUGAAGGCUAAAUUUGUUAUCAUACAAAUCAAAAUUACGCACAAAUUGACAGAAAAUAUUAACGUCAUAAUUAAUUAUCCUUAGUCGCUCACUUUUGAAAUUAAUAGGGAUUAAAUUACUUCAAUUUUUCUAGAGUGACCAAUUUACUCAAUAUCAAAUUUGAGAGGGAUUGGAGAGGAAAUUUUACCAAAAAAUAAAACAAAUGUUAAGCUUUACAAAUACUUUUUAUCUUACUUCUGCCCAUAAUUCUUCUUCACCCUUAAAUCGAAGAAAAAAUGCAUUUAAGCGCGCUCAAAUCUACAUCCGUUUAAAUAUUGUAAUAGCAAUUAUACCAACUGAAUUAAAACUCAACCAACUAAACUUUGAAACAACAAAAUGAUAAUAAAUUAAGAUCACUUUAUAUUUUACUCGCUAAUACUUCUUGCCAACUAUGUUCUUGUGUCACGGGGCUAGAUCUUUUGUCUCGCGGUCUGUGCGGCCAUAGGUGAUCCAUUCGUUCCAAACUCGCCUAAGUUAGCCUUUACUCCCAAAAGUGAGGAUUCCUUUAGAAUUCCUCUAAGGCACCAAUUUGUGUAGCAGAAGCAAUUGUGCCAAAAGAAGCUACAAAAGAACAACAGAAAGUCACAAAAAGAACACACACAAAGUGUUUGAGUAAAUGCUCAAAGAAUUCUAUUACUCUUAAGAAUUCAACUUACAAUGGAUGAGAUACAAAUGAGGGGGAAGCUCUCUAUUUACAGUUGAGCUACUCCAAAAUCGACGGUCAAGAUCAAAUUACAUUGACGAACAAGAUUAGUCUAUCCCUUGAUUUUAGGGAUUUACAAGAUUACAUCAUCUCAAAUCAAAUCUACAUUAUAUGAUUCCCAUAUUUACUAAAAAUAGCCUAUGUUGUCAUAUCUUCAUUAUCGGGCCAACCAGACUUCAAUUUAACAGGCUUCUCUAACAGUUCUUGGAAUCGAGUCAGUUCUCGUGGGCUAAAUGAUCCACAUCUAAUCGAUAGACCUCCAUGGGGCGCAUCCUUUGCCAUGGUCACAAGCUUUACACUUUGGCCAUUGACAUUCUCCCCCACCCAUUGCGACUUAUGAAUGACACUGACUUGAUUCACCUUGGAACUCUCUCGUUGCCCUAGCUUCUUCCCGACUUGUCUUGCGAUCGGGUUGUCCCUUCCUUCGAAACCUUUGCUUUGACUUCCGUCACCUCUUAACUUGAACCGCUGCACUCGUUGGUACAUCUCGUUGGCAAGAAAUCUCUGCUCUAACUUGCCCUAAUUUUGACUUGUUCCAAUUGGAAUCCAUUUGAUUCUUGCAUCUUAGCUUCAUACCGCCCAUAGUCCCUCGGCCUCCUUGCUUAAUAACUUUGAAAAGGCCCUUACGACCUUGCCAAGCCAACAAGUCAGAAUUUAAAACACUAUCAGAGUGUUUGUAAUGUACCUUACUCGCGGCAUUUACUCGUUUCGACUGCUUUUGCAUUGCUUCUUUCCCCUUGAAGUCCGAUACACAACCCACAUUUUCUAAAGGUGGCGACUCCACAAUCGACUUCACAGGCCUCAUAUCGGUCUCAUGCUCCACUAACUUUUUCAAAAGGGCUUUCAUAGCAUUCCUUUUUAUCGAGUUAAUGUUCUUCUCAUACGAAACAUCUUAGGCUAGUUGAAUUGAUGACACCACCUUGGUCCCAACCUUCAUAUCUGAUACACCGGUACAAAAUUUUUGAUAACGGAUCGGUGACAAUAUGAAUUUGAUCGGCUCAUGGAUACAGAACUGCCUGAAUCCUGUCAAGGAAAUUUAAGUCAAGCAUAUAAUCAUAAUCAUCUAAGUGGAUUACCUCAAAUUCUUCAUUGUCUUUCCAUUCGCCGAUUUGUAGCUCCACAUUUCGAACUACUCCCACAGUUGGGGCCCUCUUGAAAUUUACCAUCUUGAUCUUCUUAUUCGAUUUUCUAAUCGAGAGACCAAGUUUCUUCGUAGCCUUUUUCGAUAUGAACAAGUCUGAUACUCCCGUAUCAAUAAGAGCACUCCGUUUCAAACUCUCAAUGUUGAUGUCCACAAACAUCAACCCUUCUUCACCAUCCCUGUUCUUACAAAAGAGCACCAUCGAAUUGACCAUUGAUGUCUUUUCCUCAAUUGGCUUCACUUCCUUCAGCUCAUCUUUCUUUUCGAUAGCUGAAAUCAUCAAUUUCUUCAGACAUUUUCGCGUCAUGUGUGGUCAAUGACAAGGGAAGCAUUUUAUCCUCUUCCUCUUAUCCCUUGAGUUUUUGGAUCCCCACUUCGCAUCUCGUGGUUUCCCAUUGUUACUUGUGCUAUCGAUACUAUUGCCAUCAUUGUUGUGUCCCUCUUCAUCUCCCUCAUGAUUUCUCUCACCAUUGCCCUUUCCAUUGGGCUUAGACGACUCAAACUUGUCUUUCGUUGGACCAAGCUCAACAAAGGAUUCUGCUUCAGCCAUGGUUACAGUAAGUUUGGUGAUUCCUUGCCUAUGCAACUCAUGUUUUUCCCACGGCUUUAACCUAUCUUCGAACCAAUAGAAUGCUUCUUUAUAGCUCAAGUUAGAGAUUUGAAGCAUCAGCUCACUAAAUGCACGAAUAUGCUCCCGAACAGUGCCUUUUUGCAUAAGAUGACACAACUUAGCUCGAGCCUCCUUCUCGGCAUACUGUGAGUAAAAUUUCUUCUUCAACUCUCUUUGGAACUCCUCCCAAGUUUCAAUUGCUUACCCACCACGUUUCUCAUCCGUGGACCUACGAUGCCACCACAAGAGAGCAACAUUAGUAAAAUAGGAAGCAGUGUUUACCUUAAUGGCAUCAUCCUCGAUGCCCAUCGCUCGAAAGUAUUACUCCAUUUCACAUAAGAAGUUGUCUACAUCCAAUGCGGACCUUGCACUCUUGAACUUCUCUGGUUUGGGAACAUCCAUUACUUGUUGCUUCAACCUCGAAGUCAACAUCCUAUUACUCAAAGCAGCUUUGUAAAUCGUGAGUUCCCCAUUUAGCUCCUCGAUUUCUUUUUUCAUGGCUAGCACCAUAUCCUCGAGAGUGUCAUCCCUCUCUGCCAGCUUUUCACAGUUGAAUUGACUAAUCCAUUCAUCUUUUCCACAUUGGCAUCGAGAGAAUCCAACACAAAUUCUCUGAGUUGCUCUUCCAUUGAGUCAAACCCAUUUGUGCGUCCCUCGACCAACUCAAGCGUCUUCUUCAUUUCCCCCACAGAUUCCUCGAGAUUACUCACUCGAUUUUCCAAAGCUGACAGAAUGUACCUCGAAUGACUUACUUUUCUGGCCUUCCCACAAGUCUCCAUUGGCUUAUUCUAAUCAAUAACUUCUUUCGACAUCUCAACAGUGCCUUCUCAACCAAUAACUCGAAUACCACUUGUCACGAGGCUAGAUCUUUCGCCUCGCGAUCCAUGUGGCCUUAGGCGAUCCGUUCGCUCCAAACUCACCUAAGUCAGCCUUUACUCCCAAAAGUGAGGAUUCAUUUAGAAUUCAUCUAAGGCACCAAUUUGCAUAGCAGAAGCAAUUGUGUCAAAAGAAGCUACAAAAGAACAACAAAAAGUCAUAGAAAGAACACACACAAAGUGUUUGAGUAAAUGCUCAAAUAAUUCUAUUACUCUUAAGAAUUCAACUUACAAUGGAUGAGAUACAAAUGAGGGGGAUGCUCUCUAUUUAUAGUUGAGCUCCCCCAAAACCGACGGUCAAGAUCAAAUUACAUCGACAGACGAGAUUAGUCUAUCCCUUGAUUUUAGGGAUUUACAAGAUUACAUCAUAUCAAAUCAAAUCUACAAUAUAUGAUUCCCAUAUUUACUAAAAAUAGCAUAUGUUAUCAUAUCUUCAUUAUCGGGCCAACCAGGCUUCUCUAACAAUUCUUAGAAUCGGGCCAAUUCUCGUGGACUAAAUGAUCCCCAUCUAAUCGAUAGACCUCCAUGGGGCGCAUCUUGUGCCAUGGUCAUGGGCUUUACACUUUGGCCCGUGUCACUUGUCCAUAUAUAUCCAUAACCCAUUUGUUGAAAGGGGGAGAAGCUAGGGGGCAACCAAGGGCCCCAAAAAUGAAAAUUAUCAUUUUAGUCAUUUGAAUGUUUCUAAAGUUUUAAGUUAAUUGAAUGGUAAAAUUAUAUUUCGAUCUCUUUAUAAAUUUUAAAUUAAAUUUUGUCAUCUUCAAAAAUAAAAAGUUUAUAGUUUAAUCCCUUGAAACUUGUAAAUUUUACAGUAAUACAAUUGUGAAUUUACAUUUUUAGCUUACUCAAAAAUUUAUAAUUCAAAUUCAUCCCCUCCAAAAAAAAUUAUGGCUUUGCCCCUAUUUGUUGCUUUAUUUUUUUAGUUAGGUUUUUCUCCCUUAACAUUCACCCUAAUGCUAGCAAGAAAAUUUGAGAAAUUGAAAAUUGACUCAAACCGAAGUUUUGAAUGAUUUAUAAAAUAUAAGUUAAAAAGUUAUAGUUACUCAAAUUGGAUUCGAACCAAAUAUUUAUUUUUAUUUUUAUGAUGUAAAAAUAAAUAUUUUAUAUCUAAAAUUAAAAAUAACUUAUAAUUUUAUAUAAUUUUUUAAAAAUAAUUAAUUAUUUUUCAUUUAAUUGAAAUAUUAUUUUUUAGAAUAAUUUAUUCAAAAACUUACAAAACCAAACCAAUACCACCCUACCCAAAUACUCAGAUGACCUUAACACACCAUUUCAUGUGAUCCUAGCUGUUCCAUUUACAGCCAUUGGUUGGCCCACAGUCCGACCAGAUGCUAUACACGUGGCGAAUUAUUAGCCUCUUAUCAGGUAUGGCUAAUAUUUUUCCAGUUUUGGCCUUAUUCAAUUUUUUUUUCUCACUUUUCGCCUAAUCAACCGACCCUAGAAUUUUCCAUAUUUUUUUAAUUGCACAUUUUGGGAAGUUUGUGGACUUCCAUCAUCAUUUCAAAGAAGGACAAUAAUAAUGAUUAUUGUUUUUUGUAACCACCCAUCUAAUUAAAAAUGCAUUUAAUUGAGAAAAUUAAAUAUAUUAUCAUGAUUUAAUUAUUAUUAAAUAGUCGAUUGAAUUUUAACUUGAUUAACAUGAGUAUUAUUGUUAGUAUAGGAGAACAUGGGUUUAAGUGCGCUGAACUGCAUUAUCUUAUUAUUUUAAAGUUGGAGAGGAAUUAAGAUAGUUCUAAGUAUUGUAUAAGAAAAACAGAUAUAAUGAGAAUUUAUAAUAAAAUUGUUAAAAUGUUUAAUAAAAAUAACAAUUUCCCCACUUUUAUUAUCAACUUUUAUUUUUAUUUUUUUAAGAACAUGAAAUAGCUUCCACUAUGUAUGUAUAUACACAUGCAAAUACAUAUGGAGUUUUAAUCUAACUCAUGCUUGAAACAAUUACAUCAUAAGAAAGUUGAUCAUGAUUCAAACUGUCAUUAUUAUUAUCCUUCCAAAUCUAAGGGAGAGGCAAGGAAUCAAAGUCCAAACAGGCAUCCAUGGUGGGGUCUCAGACAAUGAAACAAACCCUACUUUGUCAUAUGGGGCGGCAAGGCUAUGUAUUGACACUCAUUCAUUUGAACCCCCAUAUAUACCCCCACUCCACUUCUCAAUACUUCCCAUCACCACAAUAUUCUUCACCUAUCUCUUUCACAAAGGAGAGCACAGAAAAAAGGGGUUCUUGUUCUUGUUCAAGUUAUUGAUCAAUGGCUAAUGAUGUUGAGGUUGGUAGUGAGUUCCAAGCCAAGGACUACCAUGAUCCUCCACCAGCUCCAUUGGUAGAUGCCCAAGAGUUAACUCAGUGGUCUUUUUAUAGGGCUAUAAUAGCUGAGUUCAUUGCCACCCUUUUGUUUUUAUACAUCACUGUGUUAACAGUGAUCGGAUACAAGAGCCAAGUUGAUCCAGAUAAGGGUGGUCAAGAUUGUGAUGGUGUUGGCAUUCUUGGUAUUGCUUGGGCCUUUGGUGGCAUGAUUUUCAUCCUUGUUUACU
rnacentral:lncRNA from 1 species